rnacentral:rRNA from 1 species
GAUGAACGCUAGCUACAGGCUUAACACAUGCAAGUCGCGGGGCAGCAUGGGGGUUGCUUGCAACACCUGAUGGCGACCGGCGCACGGGUGAGUAACGCGUAUCCAACCUGCCCUUCACCACGGGAUAACCCGGCGAAAGUCGGACUAAUACCGUAUGUUGUCCAUUGACGGCAUCCGAUUUGGACGAAAGGCUUGGCGGUGAGAGGACGAGGAUGCGUCCGAUUAGCUUGACGGCGGGGUAACGGCCCACCGUGGCUACGAUCGGUAGGGGUUCUGAGAGGAAGGUCCCCCACACUGGAACUGGGACACGGUCCAGACGCCUACGGGAGGCAGCAGUGAGGAAUAUUGGGCAAUGGGCGUAAGCCUGAACCAGCCAAGUAGCGUGCAGGAUGACGGCCCUAUGGGUUGUAAACUGCUUUUAUGCGGGGAUAAAGUGGCCCACGUGUGGGCUUUUGCAGGUACCGCAUGAAUAAGGACCGGCUAAUUCCGUG